rnacentral:lncRNA from 1 species
UUUAUUUGUUUUUGCUAAUGCAUCACUCCAAAUUGAUUUCCUCAUGUCUAUUAAGAGUCGUUCUUUCAGUCAUUCCAUAUAAACUCAUAUUCUUUUAAUUCAUCAGCUAUUUGUUGAGUUAAUUAUGGUUAAUUCAUGUGGGUCAUUGACCAAAUGGAAUCAUGAUUCAUUUGUUUGUUUGUUUUAGUCCUUCAUGGAGUCUGGCCUCGUUCAUUUGUUUCGUUCACUCUCUGUCCACCACAGGUAUUUCUGCUGUGACAGCAAAGAGUCUCGGCAGGACUGGGUCACCUGUAUUAUUCGAUCAAAGCAUGGUAGCGACCUUUGGCCCAAAGACGGGGUGGAGUGGGGAGCGGUGUGCCCCUCUGGCACCAUGCAGCGAGUCGCGCCGGCCAUCAGAAGAGGGUCUACCCAAACCGUGACCCAAGGCCCAGCGGAGACAAAGAGGAAGGCAUCCCUCGAUAUUUACCGUGGGGACACGAAACCAAACCUUCCAAUGGAAACCAUUCACCAACGCAAUGCUGCUCUCAUAGCAAAGUCACUGAAACAGAAGGAGGCGCCUGGUGUUGGAGCCCAAAUGGCUGCCCAUGGAACAAACCAAACUCACCCUAAGCACAAAACGGCUGCCAAAGAAACAAACCAGUCUGAGUUAACCAGCAAAAUGGAGUUUGGUGGGAAAAUCCAGACUGACCCUGCACGAAAGACAGAAGGUGUUCGACCAAGCCUGCCUGAGCCAAGAAACAAAAUGGUGGGCGGUAGAACACAGCAACCAAACUCUAAACCUCGAAUUCCAGCCGUCGGAGGCCACCAACCAGUGACCAACCUAAGACCAACCAAAAUGACUGCAGCCAAGGUACAGCAGCUCGAGUCAAAGCAUGACUUGUCCCCUACUGGAGCUCCCAGAGCUCCAUUGCCUUUCACAGGGGCAAUGCCUCCUGGCCUUGCCCUGCAGAAGAAGGCCAAACUGGGGACAGGUGGAGGGCAGCUACCCCCUAACCUCCUCAACGAACUCAGCACGGUCCUCAGCAAGUCAGGCCGCAGUCAAAAGGAUGAGAGUUGAACCAAAGAGCAGUGGGAAGAGGAGAGAGUGAUUGAGUAAAACGAGUGAUUCUGUAAAUGAGUGGGUAAAUUAGUCAUCGAGUGUGUGCUGUACUAACAUUAGACUUUGAACUUUUUUAACUACAUGUGUACGUUGCCAAAGGUUCCUGAUAUUUGUGUUUUAAUAAUAUUAUUUAUAGCCCGUGAUCAAUUUAGUAUGCUUUGUUUAUGUUUUCUUUUCUUUGUUUUUACCUGAGAUUGUGUGUAUUAGUUGAUCAAGCUACAUGUAUCUCCACAGACCAAAAAGCUACAGGGAAAUAUGACAGUGAAUAUAAAGAUGUAUUUUUGGAUGUGAAUGGAAUUGUCAGGAUUUGAAGGGAGUUUUGUAACAUUGUGUGAGUGUGUGUAUGUGUGUUUGUUUGUAUUGCACCCUUGUGUGUUUAUGUGUCUUGCAUGAUUCCCUUGGCUGUCUGUGACGAAAACAAACCUCAGGUUACACACUACUCUUAAGGCAGUGCAUUUGUUGUAAGUACGUUUGAAGCCCACAGCGCAAUCUCUCUCUCUCUCUCUCUUUAUAUAUAUAUAUACACAGUAUAUAUAUAUAGGUAUGUAUAGUGUAAGCACUUGUCUCACAGUGAGAGUAUUGCAGCCAGACAGUAGAUGUCCAGUUUAUUAUAUGUAUGUAUAUAUCAUGACACAUCCAGUAUAUUUCAGAGAAAGGGUUUAUAUACCUCAAGGAUUAUGAUGAUCAAAAACAUCACUUCAAUCCUUCUCUUCAUGAUAAACAGGGAGUUGGGCUCCAUCUGUUGCUUCAUCUGCUGUGUACAACAGAUUCUCCACAUUCAAAUACACAGUCUUUGGUCUCUAUGCCUUUCGGAGUUGGUGAUUGUUGAUUUAAAAUGCUGGGAAAUCCAACUGGAGAUGUAUCCAAUUCAUUGACUCCUUCAGUGAAUGGGAUUCCAAUUAAACUCUUAGACUGAUGGAGUUGACCUCGUCAUAUUACUGCCAUUUGUUUUGGUCAUCCCAUUUUUGGUGUAUGGGAUAAUGGAACAUGAUGGCAUUAGAUCAGUGCAUGUUAGCGCGUUGCAAUAGAAUGCCUUAUUGAUUCCCAUCAUUUCAAUAAACACCUCCUGCUGUUAUUUCA